UAGUAACGGCGAGUGAAGCGGGAUGAGCUCAAGCUUAAAAUCUCUGUGCCAGUUUGGCAUGGCGAAUUGUAGUCUAUAGAGGCGUUGUCAGUGCAGCUGUGCGGGGUAAGUUCCUUGGAAGAGGACAGCAUCGAGGGUGAUACUCCCGUUUGUACCUGUGCGGCUUGCGCGUACGACACGUUUUCUUCGAGUCGCGUUGUUUGGGACUGCAGCGCAAAGUAGGUGGUAAAUUCCAUCUAAAGCUAAAUAUUGGUGCGAGACCGAUAGCGAACAAGUACCGUGAGGGAAAGAUGAAAAGAACUUUGAAAAGAGAGUUAAAGAGUACCUGAAACUGCUGAAAGGGAAGCGAAUCGUAUCCAGUGUCUAUAAUCUGCGGCAUAUUUCAUUGGCGGCGGUGCGCGUGCUUUUGCGUCGGAAGCGGCUUUUGUUGCUCUGUGCUUUUGCUGUGCGUGGUGUUGCUGGUGCCCUGUGUUGCGGUGGGACGUCAGAGUCAGUUUGUAUGCUGCGGGAAAUGGCUGCCGAGGAGGUAGGUCGAGAUUUCGGUCUUGGCUGUUAUAUCUUGGUGGUUUGUUGUCGUGGUUGAGACUGAGGUGCCUACAAUGUGCUUUUGAGUGCGCCGGGUUCUCAUUUGGUGGACUGUUUGGAUAGCUUGCUAUGCUUGUGGUUUUUUCAUCGGGUGAUUGAGUCUGGUGGUAACUUAUUGCCGUUC
rnacentral:rRNA from 2 species